rnacentral:rRNA from 1 species
AGAGUGAACGCUGGCGGCAGGCCUAACACAUGCAAGUCGAACGGCAGCACAGGGGAGCUUGCUCCCUGGGUGGCGAGUGGCGGACGGGUGAGGAAUACAUCGGAAUCUGCCCAAUCGUGGGGGAUAACCGUCGGGAAACCGGGACUAAUACCGCAUACGACCUUAGGGUGAAAGCGUGGGACCGCAAGGCCACGCGCGAUUGGAUGAGCCGAUGUCGGAUUAGCUAGGUUGGCGGGGUAAAGGCCCA